AUUGCGGUCCCACUGUUGAGCAGAGCAAGCGCACGUAGCAGGCAGGAACGUAAAAGCAAAAAGGCUUUGCAAAAUAUUAUUAAUAAUUUAAAUAGUGCGUAGAAUAAAAACAGAAUAAUGAGCACCGGUGGCAGUGGCGGUGGUGCAGGUGGAGGAGCUCGUCCUCCGCCACGAAUUGAUGGAAUGGUGUCGCUAAAGGUCGACAAUCUCACAUAUCGCACCACACCUGAGGAUUUGCGUCGUGUCUUUGAACGCUGUGGUGAAGUUGGCGAUAUUUACAUACCGCGCGAUCGCUACACACGUGAAAGUCGUGGCUUCGCUUUCGUCCGUUUCUAUGACAAGCGCGAUGCCGAGGACGCACUGGAGGCCAUGGAUGGCCGCAUGCUGGACGGCAGGGAGUUGCGUGUUCAAAUGGCUCGCUAUGGACGCCCCUCGUCGCCGACACGUCGCAACAGCAGCAGCAGUCGUCGUGGUGCCGGGCUAGGCGCUGGUGCCGGUGGCGGAGCUGGUGGACGACGCCGCUCACGAUCUCGUUCACCGAUGCGACGUCGCUCACGCAGUCCACGCCGUCGCUCAUCGUAUUCACCGCGCUCACGUUCCCGUUCUGCCGGCAGUCGCUCACCCGGACGUCGCAGCAAAUUCUCGCGUAGUCCGGUGCGUGGUGACAGUCGCAAUGGCAUUGGCGGUGGUGGUGGAUUAGGAGCAGGUGGCUCGCGUAGUCGCAGCCGUUCCUAAAAAGCGCUGAAUACGUUCCAUAAUAUGUAGGUUCGAUAAGCCUUGUAAUUGACUUGUGGGAAUAACGACAACUCCAGGGAAGUGAAGAAUUCUUCAAGCGGGCUGCAUCUGAUCAUCUCAUGCUGUGUACCAGAACAGCAGGCAAGUGUGCGGCGGCGGUUGUUGCAGUCCUUGCUGCCGUGUUGCUGUUGCUGUUAAUGUAAAUGUAAAUGUUAUGGCUGGCUGUCGCUGUCGCUGUGCGUGGGCGUAGAAGAGAGAGAGAGAGAGGGAGCGAAAAAGUGAGCACGAGAGAGCUGAAGCAAAGAGCAGCGUGUGAUUUUCUUAACUCAUGUGCGUGAGAGAGCGACGUACUCAACUAAAAGAGCAACGACGAACGUCGGUGUCGUAAGCGGAGAGCGAAAAUGGUGCUGUUAAUGUUAUGCUGCUGCUCUUCAGGCUCCCCCGCUCCUGUGCUCUCACUGUUGCUGUAGCUGUUAUCGGCGAACUUCAAUGCGCUGCUGAUGCUGCUGCUGCUGCUUCGAUCUUCCCCACUCGCACUCACACACACGCACGCACUCACACACACAAACACAAAUUGCUGCUGUUGAGAAGCUCUAUGUGUGUGUCUGCGUCUCUGCCAACAAUUUUCGCUGUGUUAUUGGCGUUUCGCUGCUUCACUCCUUGUUCGUAUUGGUUGCUGCUGUUCAUCGGCGUUGUUCGUGUUUCUUCAACUGCAGUUGCUGUUGCUGUUUCCUGUGCCUACUUUUGACUUUAGCCAAAUUUGUAGCUGAUGUCCCAACGAGAGAGCCGAGCGACAAAACGACUUGUGGGGAUCUCCAAAGCCACAAGCAACAAAACUUUGUCUGUAUAAAAUCAUCAUCUUAAAGACGGGCUCUGGGUAAGUCGAAACAUUUAACAGUUGCUAACUAUUUACAUUUAUGUUGCAGCCUAGAAACUAACAAACUGAUAAGAACAAUAAAGAUUUAAAAAACGUUCAAAACACUAAGAAAUGUUUUAUUUAUUUAAAUUCUCUCAAAUAAGAAUAUUACAAAAUCGGGCUAUUUAUGCGUUCUCUAACGGUUAGCACAUGUUGAUUAAACAAUUUAUCCAUCUCUUCGUCUUUCUCACGCGACUUUUUAAUGUCAUCGUCAAUUUUUUUUAGAUCUUCUUCACGUCUUCGGUGGAUAUCCCUGAGUUUCUGGUCACGUUCAAUUAGUACAUCGAGAAUUCUUUGCAUAAUACUUCUAUACGCAGGUGAUAAAUCGGGAUUCUACGAAUGGAAUUAGACUCUUACAAUAAUGUCAAAACUGAUCUAUUAACCUCACUCACAGACAGUCGAGCUCUCAAGCUCGAUAUGUCUUCAGCCCAUUUUUCUUCCUGCUUCCGGUUAUCUUCUAUUUCCUUAGCACUCUCAACUUGGGCGUCAGCAAGUUUUUUCGCAGCGGCAUCACUUGCUGCCUUUGAGUCUAUCGCACUCUGUAACAAAUGAGCAUUCAAGUCUCCAAACGUACUUAUUGCCGGCACAUGGGUUGGCUCAUUGGAAUUCUAUGUUUAGGAUGAGAGACUUAAAAUGAUUUCAAAGCUGAUUCUUUAAGGAUACUCACAUCUCCAUGACCGAACACAACAAGGACUGCGAUGAGCAGCCCAAAAAAUAUAAUUUUCAUUUUGAUUCGCACAAAGUCACGUAUUUCAAAGCACUGAAGAUCUUCCGCUUAAUGCCAGAACUUAAAUACCCUAAAAAUGAACCAUAUGACGAAAUUUGAGGCUUAUCAAUAUAGCGACGCAAGCCGAGAAAUCAGCAAUGCUACCAAUGUAAUCUACAAGGCUUUUGAUUUGAAUUUCCGAAUUUUUCAAUCAUGUGUUGUGAUGCUACUGACCUAUCGACACAAUCUUCUGAUACCCCUUUACCCUUUGAGUGGUGAGUGUCAGCACUUUUGUUAUUGACCUCACGUUUCCUACAACAACAAGUAAGAAAGCUACAGUCGAGUGUGCUCGACUGUGAGAUACCCGCUACCCAUUUUCAAUAAAAAUAUUGGGCGGAAGUGGAAAAAAUUUGAAACAAACUUGAACUGCGAGCAAACAUAAAAAAGCUGUCGAUAAAAUAAUAGCUCUAUCUAUUAUAGUCUCUGAGAUCUAGGUGUUCAUACGGACAGACAGACAUACACUUUCUAGGGUCGGAGAUGCCUCCUUAUGGCUGUUACAUACAUUUCCUGCCGGCACAAAGUUAUAAUACCCUUCCACCCUAUGGGUAGCGGGUAUAAAAACAGUAUCCACAAAUGUCAUGGAAUACACACAUGAACAGAAAUCAAAUAGCUCUUAGGGACUUUGGUUCCUUCUCCUUCUCACUACCUUAAAAGCUGAUUAGGGCAGGGGGGAAUUCGAUAUUACGAACGUUUCUAACACUACAGCAAACAAACAAACACAACAACAACAAAUUUGCUAGGAAUUCAUUUUAUUUAUUUAAAUUCUCGCCUAGAAGUAGACAAUAAUCAAUAAAAAUCUUCUUUGAGGAGAGUUAUUAAGCUGAGCACACAAAAAUUCGGCAAUUUUUACGCAUACUGCGGGUAGCUAUCGAUCAAGUGACGUAUUGAAUUCAUAUAUUGGGCAUACAAUAUAUUCAUCUGUUCAAGUUCCUCACGCGAUUGUCUGAUUUCUUUGUUUAAUGUCUCUAUACGUUUUUCGUUCCACUGCUUUCCAUUUCGAAGUGCUUCAGCUGUUAUAUCGAAAAAUCUUUGGAAAGCACUCCUCACCUCAGUUGAUAAAUUGGAAUCCUACGAAUGGGGAAUUAGACUUUUAGAAUGAUUUCAAAGGCGAUUUGAUAGGCACACUCACUGUCAGUUGAUUUCUUAUAACCGAUAAUUUUUGAUCACCUUCGACAAUCUUCUUCCGAUAAUUUUCUAUUUUUUUAGCUUUCGUCUCAUUAACUUCGUUUUCCUCGUUAAUAGCUGUAGUCUGUUCGUACAUCCCAAAUUGUAUAAUCUCCUUCAUCGAUUGUAUAAACCAUUUCAUAUCCGACCCAUUGGCUGGUUCGUUGGAAUCCUAUGAAUACGACGAGAGACUUAAAAUGAUUUCAAAGCUGAUUCGUUAAGGACACUCACAUCUCCAUGACCGUACACAACAAGGACUGCGAUGAGCAGCCCCAAAAAUAUAAUUUUCAUUUUUAUUCGCACAAAGUCACUUAUUUCAAAGAACUGCAAAUCUUCCGCGUAUGGGGCAGAACUUAAAUACCUAAAAAAGAGCCAUACGUCAUUUGCGGGUUAUCAAAAUAGCGACACAAGACAAGAUUAUCGUUGCUUUUACUACUUUUACUUUUUGAGCUAUUUUCUGCACUCUGGAUGCUGAUAAAGAAUAUAUAUAUUUUAUGAGGUCUGUUCUAUACUAGUUGGCACUUUCUUCUGAUACCCUUUAACCUUUGAGUGGUGAUUAUCAGCCCUUUUAUUAUUGACCCGAAAAACUUUUCAAACAGCAUUGACAAAUGUCAUGAAACUAACACAUGUAAAGAAAUCAAAAGCCCUUUAGGACUUUAGCAUGAGAGGCAAAGCUGCUCUACACUACCUUAAAAACUGACUAGAGCGAGGGGAAUUCGAUAUUAGACUGUUAUUUAUGUUGACUACACGACGCAACGUGUCCAAACAAAAACAGCAACAACAAAUUUGCUAGGAAUUCAUUUUAUUUAUUAAAAUUCUCUCCUAGAAGUAGACAAUAAUCAAUGAAAUCUUCUUUGAGGAGAAUUAUUAAACUGAGCACACAAAAAUCCGGCAAAUUUUACGCAUACUGCGGGUAGCUAUCGAUCAAGCGACGUGUUGAAUUCACAAA